GGCCUCGUGGCCCAAUGGCAAGGCGUCUGACUACGAGAGAACCCAACAAAGGGUCUUUCAUAGAAAUCAGGAGAUUCUGGGUUCGACCCCCAGCGAGGUCA